UACGGAGGGUGCAAGCGUUGUCCGGAUUUAUUGGGCUUAAAGGGUGCGUAGGCGGUCUGGUAAGUCGGCGAUGAAAGCCCGGGGCUCAACCCCGGAACUGUCGUCGAUACUGUCGGACUUGAAUAGGGUGGAGGCCGGCGGAAUGGGCGGUGUAGCGGUGAAAUGUAUAGAUACCGUCCAGAACCCCGAUUGCGAAGGCAGCUGGCUGUACCCUUAUUGACGCUGAGGCACGAAAGCGUGGGGAGCGAACAGG
rnacentral:rRNA from 1 species